rnacentral:lncRNA from 1 species
AUUUUAUGUAAGCUGCAAAAAAAAAAAGACUUGAAUUCCUUUGUUAGGCUAAUUUUGUCACAGUAUUGAAAAUUAAAUUAUAAACGAUACUCUAGGGAGGAGAAAGGAGGAUAUAUUUUUUGUGCCGAUUCAGAUGAUGACAAGGAUUAUGAAGAAAUCAUAUAAGAGGGACCGCCCCGCCCCCUUUUUGAGUACUAAAUCCACCAGUGUAAAUCUAAUAUUCAUUUUCAUCUCUUGUGAGACACUGCUAUUGUUUUAAUUUAUUUCACUUUAACAUUUCCUACGUUUUGAUUUACAAACUGUUCAUUUUCAUUCUAUUUUUUUUUUUAUAUUUGUCAAUCACGGUUGAAUAUAAGCAGUUCGUACCUACGAGGCGGAUCCAGCCAUUUUAAAAAGAGGGGGGUUCUCAACCCAGGACAAAAAAGGGGGUUCCACUUAUAUUUCCCCAUUCAAAUGCAUUGAUCGGCAAAAAAAGGGGGGUUCCAACCCCCGGAACCCCCCCCCCCUUGAAUCCGCCAAUGUACCAGGCCAACCGCAGUAUCAUAAUAUGCAAUUUACCAAACUACUCUUGGUCCCCGUAUAAUAUAGGUCGCCCCAAUAUUUGGGGGAAAUGUAUUAUGGUAAACUAUCUAUAGUAC